rnacentral:rRNA from 1 species
UACGUAGGCAGCAAGCGUUGUUCGGAAUUACUGGGCGUAAAGAGUGUGUAGGCGGUGUUCUAAGUCUGUUGUGAAAUCUCCCGGCUUAACUGGGAGGGUGCGGCGGAAACUGGAAUGCUAGAGGAUGGGAGAGGUAAGCGGAAUUCCUGGUGUAGCGGUGAAAUGCGUAGAUAUCAGGAGGAACACCAGCGGCGAAGGCGGCGCUCUGGGCCGGAACUGACGCUGAGGAGCGAAAGCGUGGGUAGCAAACAGG